UUGCUUGCUUCGGCAGCACAUAUACUAAGAUUGGAAUAAUACAGAGAAGUUUAGCAUAGUCCCUGCUCAAGGAUGACAUGCAAAUUCGUGAAGCAUUCUAUAAAAUA